rnacentral:lncRNA from 1 species
GUGGGGGCAGACGUGCCAAUGAGAGAGAAAGGGGUGGGGUAGGGCGGCUGACGCCCGGUUUAGGCGGAGAGCGCCGGGCAGAGGGGGAGGGGGACGAAGCUGGUGGCGAAGCGGCUCAGGAGAACCGGGGCUGGAGGAGCGGCAAGAGUACCCAGAAAGUGCCCUCUCCGCGGGGGUCUGCGGCCAAGGAGGAUCCUGCUCGUGGAAUAGCUACCAAAUCGGCCUCCAGCCCACCCCAGGGGCGGGGUAGAGAAAGGGCAAACUGUGACCGGGACUUGUGCACCCGAUUAAUUGAAUAUUAAUCACCCCAAGGCCUAGGCCAACCGCCACCCAGAGAGUGGCAGCUGCAGAACCCAAAGACGUGGAGCCGGGCUGGGGGUGGGGAAGGGAGGCCGCCACAGCUCCCGCCCCGCCGGCAGUUUAACUGCUUCCGCAGCCUCAGGCCUCCCGGUGCGACCCCGGCUGCGACUCGGAUCCGUUUAUUCCAAAUGUCCCAGCCCACGCCGUGCCCAGAGUGUGGCGACACGAGGCCAAACUGCACGGAGUCUUGCUGUGUUGCCCAGGCUGGAGUGCAGUGGCAUGAUCUCUGUUCACUUCAACCUCCGCCUCCUGAGUUCAAGCGAUUCUCCUGCCUCAGCUUCCCAAGCAGCUGGACUACAGCAGGGAUGACGGCGCUCCUGGAGGCUGGCUGGGAAGCUGGUCAGGGUCCCAGGACUCUGACACCCCCAAUGGCCCUUGUAGCCUUGGGGAGUCCUGUGAUCCAAGGCUGGAGGACUGAGUCCCCUCCAGGUCUCAUAGCAGACGAAUAGCAGCUUCACCCAGGCCUGUUUUGUCGUGGCCCCAUUCAGAGGCCGCCCUCCUCUGUGGUUUAGAGCAUGCCCUGGAAUCCCUAGCACAACCAGGGGUUACCUCCUGCUGGCUGACCCCUUCCUGUGCUGCGGGCUGGAAUAUAGGGUUUAACCCUGUUAUAACCCAGAGGAACACAAAAGGAGGAACAUCAGGCUUUAUGGAGAGACUGGAAAUGAAGUGGAGGUUUUCCUUGCUCAUGAAACCUGGCUCACCCUACAGGUAGUCCCAAAGAGAGCUUGUGAUUUUCUUUCCCCUUUGGUCCCCCGACCCCUUCAGAGCUCUCUGGGAAGCUAUGCUCUCUCACUGCUUUCCCUCCCCUGAUCAGAGUCCCUGUGCCAAGGCUCCUGGAUACUGGGGCUGGAAAACCUCCUGUCCCUUCCACCACUCCUGUGCCCUCCAGGGAAGGGGUCUGGGGUCUCGGGGCUCACCCCCACCUGUGUGCCAGUCCCUGUGCUAGGCCUGCACAGACAUCAGCUCGCUGAUCACUACGAGAACCUCAACUCUUCUCCCCAUUUCAUGAGGACACCGAGGCUCAGAGGUGUUCGUGAUACUCAAGAUCACACUGCCAGAGCGUGAGUUACUGGGAUUUGAACUUUGGUCCGUGUGGCUGCAAAGCCAGUGGCUGCUAUGAUUCUCUUUCCACUUGCUGCAGCCCACGUCCCUCUGGGCAAGUCUGACACCCUAGCUGCCCUCAACUGCCUGGCCCCGUGGCGUCCCAGAGGGCGAGGGGAGCACAGGGACUGGGCACAGAGGCCAGCUGGGGUCAAGGCAAGGGGGCUGCCCAGCACAGUGGUUCUGCUCCAGAGGUGCAGUCAGACUGCCUGGGUUGGCUCAUGCCUGGGUCUGUCAUUGUGGGCAGCGUGACCAGCCUAAACCUCAGUUUUCUCUUUUGUCACCUAUGUGCUAAAAAUACUUAUUUCUGGAGAUUCUUGUGAGGAUUAAAUGAGAUCUUCCAAGCCAAGUGCUUUGCAUAGUGACGCAGGGUAGGUGCUCAAGAAAUUUUGUUGUCUGCCUGUGGUCUGGGUGGGGGCAGGGUGGGGCUGCGAUGGUGAAGAAAUGACACAGAAACCCACAGGAAACUUCAUCAUCUAGAUGGUACAUGGAUGGCACAUUCAAGGGAAGUAACGAAACGAGAAGAAAAAACUUUUACAUUUUGGCUGAGCAAAGGCAACAAUAUAAUUACCAUCAUUUAUAAAAACUGCCUCCCAUUAAUGUCUAAUUCCCACAAAGCGCAACAAUGAUUAUCUCAUUAACUAUGUGUCAGAUUAACUUUGUUGCAGGUUUUAUUUGAUUAAAACAGUGAACUCACAACACGUAUUAUGCUCAUUCUUCAUAGUUUGUGGUUUCUGGAGCAUAGUCCUCUGUUGGCAACUUUUUCUAAAUUAGAGGGCACGUUUCUGGGUAAGUUGUUUUUUAGAAAUUUAGUUAUCUGGAGUCCCAAAGCACCCAGGGUGGAGGGAAGGGCUCAGAGCUUCCUAUUAGCUUCCACCUUUGGAUUUGCUAAGGCCAGUGAUGAAAGAUGAAUUAUGUAUCCAUAUUUUCAAGACUUUGGGGGCUGGGCUUGGGCUUGGGCCGGGCGCUGUGGCUCAUGCCUGUAAUCCCUGUACUUUGGGAGGCCGAGACAGGUGCAUCACAUGAGGCCAGGAGUUCGAGACCAGCCUGGCCAAAAUGGUGAAACCCUGUCUCUACUAAAAAUACAAAAAUUAGCCAGUCAUGGUGGCAGCACCUGUAAUCCCAGCUACUCAGGAGGCUGAGCCAGGAGAAUCACUUGAACCCAGAAGGUGGAGGUUGCAGUGAGCCAAGAUCAUGCCACUGCACUCCAGCUUAGCCAACAGAGCAAAACUCUGUCUCAAAAAAAAAAAGUCUUAUUCGAAUAUUUUACUGUG